UAUGGGAUGGGAAAAAAAAAAAAAAUUCAAAGCUUGUGCGUUCUCUCGCAAAACGUUUGCGUUCCCUGAGAAAGUUUUGCGUUCCCUCACAAAGAUAGCCUACCUGUUUUUUCCCACCACCACCAUGUCCCUUUAGCGGCUCCGUAGUUUGCAGUCAGUGCGUAGCAUUUUUUAAUUGUCUUCAUGGCAACACUGCGCAUGCUCGGUUUGAAUUACAGCAGAUUCUAACGGACACACUGAGCUGCAGCUGUAAACUGAACCACCAUUCUCCUACACACAACAGGACGUGAGAAGCGGAUUCUAGAAUGUUGUAUUUCUUCUACCAGAAGGAGUGGGGGAGGUUUCAUUUCCCUGGAGAAAACCCACAUAAAAAGCUACGCUUGUCCACCCAGGACCAGGAGACGGGAUCUGAAGCUGAUCCGGAUACCUUUGGCGUAAUGUCACAGGAGAAGG